rnacentral:rRNA from 1 species
GUCUACAGCCAUGCCACCCUGAACAUGCCCGAUCCCGCCUCAUCUCAGAAGCUAAGCAGGGUUGGGCCUGAUUAGUACUUGGAUGGGAGACCACCUAGGAAGACCGGGUGCUGUAGACG